rnacentral:rRNA from 1 species
GACGAACGCUGGCGGCGUGCUUAACACAUGCAAGUCGAACGAAUGGAUUGAGAGCUUGCUCUUAUGAAGUUAGCGGCGGACGGGUGAGUAACACGUGGGUAACCUGCCCAUAAGACUGGGAUAACUCCGGGAAACCGGGGCUAAUACCGGAUAACAUUUUGAACCGCAUGGUUCGAAAUUGAAAGGCGGCUUCGGCUGUCACUUAUGGAUGGACCCGCGUCGCAUUAGCUAGUUGGUGAGGUAACGGCUCACCAAGGCAACGAUGCGUAGCCGACCUGAGAGGGUGAUCGGCCACACUGGGACUGAGACACGGCCCAGACCCCUACGGGAGGCAGCAGUAGGGAAUCUUCCGCAAUGGACGAAAGUCUGACGGAGCAACGCCGCGUGAGUGAUGAAGGCUUUCGGGUCGUAAAACUCUGUUGUUAGGGAAGAACAAGUGCUAGUUGAAUAAGCUGGCACCUUGACGGUACCUAACCAGAAAGCCACGGCUAACUACGUGCCAGCCGCCGCGGUAA